GAGAAAUAGCUACCACUUCUACGGAGGGCAGCAGGCGCGUAAAUUGCCCAAUGCCAAACUGGUGAGGCAGCGAAGAGAAAUAGCGACUCCGCCUCUCUGAGUGCGGGGAUUGCAAUGGGUGGUAUGUAAAACCACCAACGAGUAACAAUUGGAGGACAAGUCUGGUGCCAGCACCCGCGGUAAUUCCAGCUCCAAUAGCGUAUAUUAACGCUGUUGCUGUUAAAGGGUUCG
rnacentral:rRNA from 1 species